GACUCGGUAGCUUAGUUGGUAAAGCACUUGUCUAGCGAAUAAGGGUCGUGAGUUCAAAUAUCACCUGAGCUG
rnacentral:tRNA from 1 species